rnacentral:misc_RNA from 1 species
UCCGAGUUGACCCCGGCGGUCUCCCAUGAGUCCCCACCACAAUGUGCUGGCAACAUGGAACGAGGGUUGCGCUCGUUGCGGGACUUAACCCAACAUCUCACGACACGAGCUGACGACAGCCAUGCACCACCUGUCACCGGCCCAAAAAGGACCCCGCAUCUCUGCGGGUUUUCCGGCGAUGUCAAGCCUUGGUAAGGUGGGGAUGACGUAGCUAAGCCUUC